rnacentral:rRNA from 1 species
GACGAACGCUGGCGGCGUGCUUAACACAUGCAAGUCGAACGGAAAGGCCCUGCUUGCAGGGUACUCGAGUGGCGAACGGGUGAGUAACACGUGGGUGAUCUGCCCUGCACUUCGGGAUAAGCCUGGGAAACUGGGUCUAAUACCGGAUAGGAGCCAUUUUUAGUGUGAUGGUUGGAAAGUUUUUUCGGUGUAGGAUGAGCUCGCGGCCUAUCAGCUUGUUGGUGGGGUAAUGGCCUACCAAGGCGGCGACGGGUAGCCGGCCUGAGAGGGUGGACGGCCACAUGGGGACUGGGAUACGGCCCAGCCCCCCACGGGAGGCAGCAGGGGGGAAUUUUGCAAAAUGGGGGAAAGCCUGAUGCAGCGCCCCCGCGUGGGGGAUGAGGGCCUUCGGGUUGUAAACCCCUUUCGCUAGGGGCGAAGUUUUUGUGGCGGUACCAAGAUAAGAAGCACCGGCUAACUACGU